rnacentral:rRNA from 1 species
GAAAGCUAAGGGAGCGAAUGAGAUUUGAUAUUCGAGUAGUAUAGUCGUAAAUGAAGGAUACUAGGUAAUGUGCGCAUCAAUUUGUAUAGUAUCGUGGCUAAUGAGUUAAGUAUCU